AUACGUAGGGCGCAUGCGUUAUCCGGAAUUAUUGGGCGUAAAGAGCUCGUAGGCGGUCUGUCGCGUCUUCUGUGAAAACCCGAGGCUCAACCUCGGGCCUGCAGUGGGUACGGGCAGACUAGAGUGCGGUAGGGGAGAUGGGAAUCCCUGGUUGUAGCGGUGGAAUGCGCAGAUUUUCGGGAGGAACACCGGAGUGGAAAGGGCAAGAUCUCGUGGGCCGAAACGUGACGCAAGAAGAGCGAAGAGGGUGGGCGAGCAAACAGGCUUAGAUACCCUGGUAGUCCACCCCGUAGACGUUGGGAACUAGUUGUGGGGACCAUUCCACGGU
rnacentral:rRNA from 1 species